GAUGUGCCGGGGCUUCUCCCGUUU
rnacentral:tRNA from 1 species